ACCAGAGAAGCCUUCUUAGGAUAUGGGGGAUUUUUUUUCCCAGCUAGAAUAAUAUUUGUGUUUUUAAUUGGAGGACUGGCAUAAAAUAUCUAGCAUUUCUGCUCGAGCAAGGUUUUGAUGUCAUCUUGAGAUGCUCUGUGUCAUUCUCCAGCAAGAAGCAUAGCAACGAAGAUAAUUAUAUAAACAUUCCAUGUGAAAAUAUUCUAUCUAAAUCCGUGUAAUUAUAUAAUAACAUAAUAUAGUAAGCUAUAUAUUCAGAUCACCUUGCAGGGAGAAUUGCAAAGCUCUCAUACAGAUGUGCUCUGGGAUAUAUAGGAGUCUGCAGGCAAGGAGGGACUUUAAAAUGGGAAGCAAAGUGGAAAACAAUUUAUGUUUCCAGGUUUCACAGUUGGUGCCUCAAAUCUUAAAAUGUUAUAGCAAUAAAAAAAUUAUUUUCUACAUCUCAAGAAAAUUUUAUCUGCUCUCCUUUAAUGAUAAUGUGAAUCAAAUGGUUCGACAUUCUGGUCAUAAAUUCUUACCCUCUGAGUGAGCAGGUUAGAUAUUUUUCAGAAUGCUUGAUGGGGCGUUGAAGAACCUUUCAGAGCUGUCAUGUCUUACAGCCUUUCCUCCUCCUUCCUGGAUUCUUCAGGAUCACUGGAUGUGCUUUGAACUGCUUCUAAUAGGAAUGAACUGUGUCUACAGAGCAUGCCUGCCUGUUAAGUUGCUUCAGUUGUGUCUGACUCUGUGCGACCCUAUGGACCGUAGCCCGCCAGGUUCCUCUGUCCAUGGGUUCUCCGGGCAGGAAUACUGGAGUGGUUUGCUGUGCCCUCCUCCAGGGGAUCUUUCCAACCUAGAGAUCGAACCUGCAUCUCCUUACAUUGGCAGGCAGGUUCUUUACCACUAGUUCCACCUGGGAAGCCCUGUCUACAGAGCAGGACAGAUCUGCUGCUGGUAUGGCUCCUGCAUACUCCGGUUCACGUCCUCUAUGCUUUAAUGUGCUGUGUCAUCUGUUUCCUUAUUUUCUGCAUUGGCUGCUCUCAGUAAUGUCGGAUGCAGAAGUCCUGGCUGCCCGCCACGUUGGACGACGAGGUGCACUGGCCAUCGCUACCAGUGCCUGAUGUCCAGAGAGCUAAUACUGCUCUGGGCUCCCAGGGCGGCUCUGCCACCCCCAGGCCGGCCAAAUGUUUGAGUCCUAUCGUAAAACGGCGUAGACGCAAGUUUGGAAAAUGCCCUUCCCCACUGCAGAGCAUUAUUUUUUUUGUAAGUGCUAGUGAGAUUUGUCCAGUUCUUGUUACCACAGUGGAGAACAGUCACUGGUAACAUGUUGAUUUUGAUCCUCUGCUGCUGCUGCUGCUAAGUCGCUUCAGUCGUGUCCGACUCUUAGCAACCCCAUGGACUGCAGCCUACCAGGCUCCUCUGUCCGUGGGAUUUUCCAGGCAAGAGUACUGGAGUGGGAUGCCAUUGCCUUCUCCGUUGAUCCUCUAGUUACUGCCAUUUUAUCACUUAUCUACUUAAUAUUUUAUCAUGUUCACCAACGAGUUAGCAUGGUCAGGAGGGGAAAUCAGAAGUCCAGUUAAUUUUAGCAAAUUUUGUGGAAUGUUCGGUGAAGUUCUGAAAAGGUAGUGCUAGCUACAAAGAGAUUUGAGGAUUAUUCAUGGGCUUUGCUUAUC
ensembl:lncRNA